UGUGCCUAUCAGACAGAGGGACCGGUCAAUGACUCCUCCUCUUUCUUUCAGCCGAUCUUCAGAUGGAAGGAUCCAGCAGCAGAGACCAGACUGUCCUGAACCCAGCUGUCUGUCCUUCAAGAGCGACUGGUUGAAGGAUGAAUUUAUUGUCUUUAAAGAUGUCCGUCCAUCUGCUGAUCAGAUAGUCCAGCAGCAGAGCUC